AAACGCUUGAAGUCAGUCGCGUUUGUCAGAACUCAGCCUUGCAUUUGCUUGGUGUACUUUCUGGUGAACGGGCCAGCAUCAAUUUUGACCGCUGGAUAAUGGCAAGGGGAAGGUGGCACCCUCGGGUGUGUUAUAGCCUCUUGUCGCAUACAGUGGUUGGGAUUGAGGAAUUCAGCAUGCCUUUAUGGUCGGGGUUCGCCCACGUUCAUGCUUAGGAUGCUGGCGUAAUGGCUUUAAACGA
rnacentral:rRNA from 1 species